rnacentral:rRNA from 1 species
UACGAAGGGGGCUAGCGUUGCUCGGAAUCACUGGGCGUAAAGGGUGCGUAGGCGGGUCUUUAAGUCAGGGGUGAAAUCCUGGAGUUCAACUCCAGAACUGCCUUUGAUACUGAGGAUCUUGAGUACGGGAGAGGUGAGUGGAACUGCGAGUGUAGAGGUGAAAUUCGUAGAUAUUCGCAAGAACACCAGUGGCGAAGGCGGCUCACUGGCCCGUAACUGACGCUGAGGCACGAAAGCGUGGGGAGCAAACAGG